AACGGUCUAUACCUGCGGUACCUGCGGAAGGAUCAUUAACAAUUAUCCACGAUCAUGGAUAAUUCUAUCCAUAUCCACCUUGUGUGAAUCACAGACGCGUUUGUUGGCAGGCUAAGUUCUUCUCGAAUAGAAGUAGUAGAGAGAGGGCUGUGGAGUAUUUGAUGCUCGGCCUGCCAAUUUUUAUUAUUGUUUAAACAUGUCUAAAUAGUAUUGGUCUGAAAUAUAUAAUUUUUAUAACAA
rnacentral:misc_RNA from 1 species